rnacentral:piRNA from 1 species
AUGGUAGAGACCCAGAAGUAAAC